UGCUGGGUCCCCUCAGAAAGACCUGAACCCCAACAGCCUUGCAGCCUCUUAGUCUACCUGGCUGCAGGACCCAGGCACCAACUGCCGAGAAUCUUUAGGACUGAACAUUCUAAUGGCAGUUGAGAGCAACGGUCAAGCAGUGAAGCCCCAGGCAGAAGAGCACACAGACCGGGGAGGGUGCAGAGGCAGCCUCGGCCCUAUCAGGACCCGUGGGGGAUAGCUGAGCGGGGAAGAUAAGCAGAGAUUCUGGGCGGGAGGCCUACCAGGAAGAAGGGGACCAAGUCAUCAAGGAGAAAUCGAGGCCGCCCACUAAUGGCUCUAGAGGCCAAUCCUGCCAGCCUGGGUGUCAGUUUGGAAGCCUGCCCUGUGUUGAAAACUCACAGCCUUUGAGCUAACCACCUCUUACCGCAAGGGCAGGAGUUCUGGUGGCCUCUGGUGCUGAAUGGUGGGCACUGUGAAUCAAGGUCAAAUUCAUGAUGAACUUGCGCCUUCUGUAAAGAAACAAAUCAGCAACUGCCAAGUUCAAAGGAGCUGACCACUGACGAGACCAAGGCGUAGCUAUGUACUAACCAGCCUUCUCAGAAGUUGUUCGUGAAGAAUAAUGUGACUCAAGUCCACAUGUGAAAAUUGAAUGAUGGAAAGGAGCUUCCAAGGGAUUCUGUUUCUUCCCCAUUAACACAGAAGUUGAAGCUGCAAUAUGCAGCCCAUCUGGUGGCAAUGAAUAGCAGUGAAGACCCAUUUAGAUAGUUUCACUCAAUCUCACCCUAGCCAUCCCUGUGCUGUAUUCCGUGUCUCUGUUUCCAUAUUUCCCCUGACAAGAUUAGAGCCUCGUAGAGGCCAAAGUUUCUAGUCUCAAGUCUUCCUAGAGCCCGUCACCCAGGCACAGUGCCAGCCAAUAAACGAGUGUUCAGCAGGUGCAUGCAGAAACAGUCGUUGGCGAUACCCUCCUAGCCCAUGCCCUCAACUGCUUGGAAAUGGUCGCUACUGGGCAGUCACUGCUGCUAAGGGUGUGCUAAGAGAUUACGGCAAUGACAAGAACAGGGAACAGAUGGUCUUUGCUCUCGCAUAUGAGCUCAGGAGUGAAUCCCUGAAUUGGGACCAUUUCUUGUUCUUCCCAAAUGGCAACAUGUGAGCUGAAAUUCAAAGCAGAGAAGUCCCAGGUCUGAGAAGUAGCCUCGUCAGAAUCCAUAACUUUUCUUUGCCCAGUUAAUUUUCCUCCCCUCUUUGUGGUGUAUUGAAGGCCAGAGAGGUGCAGGUAGCUCUGGGAGGGAGAGAGAGGAGGAUGAGGGGACAGGGGAUGGGGGAGGGAAGGGAGAGGGAGGAGGAUGAGGGGAUGGGAUGGGGGAGGGGAAGGGGGAGGGCUGACCAUCAGUGGGGAAGUGAAAGAGAUUUCGAAAGAAGCAAAGAAUAAUGAAUGCUUUAAAAGCUGGCGCUUUCCUUUAACAGGAAAAUCCCAGUUUCAGUUCUUUCUGCAUGCUGCCCACACCGCAGGAACAGACCUUUGAACGCACUGUCCCUGGAUUCCACACUGAUUAACAAGCGCAGAUCAUUCUGAACUCUUCAGGAAAAUCACCCCUCUAACUUAAGCAUGUAGUAUAGUCAAGGCAGUGUGCUAGAUACUCUGUAACUUCUUAGCAAUAAAUAAAUAAAUGCCAUCUCCCUGUGUAGCACCCCUACCACCCCAACUCAGGAAUGGCCCCAGCAGCGCACCCUGGUGGCCAACGCCGCCUCCACCCAGCAGCACCCGGAGCAUCCUGUGUGUACACAUUCAUAUUCUGUCUCCUCUCUCAGCAUUCUGGAUGCUGUUGUCCAAUCCUCAGUGAUUGGUGGAGCGUUCUGGCGAUGAAUGAUAAAAGCCUGGCACUCUUCUCUCUUUCCCUAACAAGCAAAGAGCUUGUGCUAUCGGAGGUGACGGCUUUGAGGCACCUACCCGGGCUUGCCUCUCCCCGGACUGCUGUGCUUUCCCAAACAAUCCUUCAGCAAGCAGGUCCCCAAGCCUGACCCCUCCCAGUCUUCCACAGGCACUUGGAUUUCAUGCUUUAGCAAGGGCAAGUGCUCAGUCCAGACCUGAAACAGCAUCACGUCCCAGGAGAGCUGCUGACAUUUGCUGACCAAUUGCUGCUUUCCCAUUCAAUGUCAGCGCUAUCCAGUUCUCCCAAGUUCUGCAGGGCUUUGCACAACUGAGAAGCUCACGUGAGGCCCCGGAGCAGUGAAGAGCCACGCAGUUAGACAACCAGAAUACGCUUAGGGGCCUCUAAAGGAGGUUUCCCACAACAGCCCUUCCCACCCAGGGCCCAGCAAGGUUCGCACCUAAUUCUGGGCGGGGCCAAAAAGCGCUGUCAGGUCCAUAAGGCCAACACAGGGCCAGAGCCUCAGUUCUGACUUUUCCCCACAUGGGCGUGGUCUUUCCGGCUCCUGCAGAGCCGGCUGGGCCUAGAGCAAUGAGUUCGUCCAGACUAAUGUUAGUUGGCCCUUUUUGACUGCAAAACCACAGCAAGAAAUACAUUUCACAAACUUUGCAUCACCUCCCCACAGAGAUAUUUAGAUACAGGUAUAGGCAUAGGCCUGGGUAAAUGUAUAUCUAGUGGGGAAAAAACACUCACCCUUUUUGUAAGUGACACCCCGAGGUUUUUGUUUGUAAUCUGUUGUUCCACAACGCCGGCAGUAAACCACUAAGUUGAUUUCACAACCCACUCAUGGCGUGCGGCCCACGGGAUGGAAAGCUCUGCUGUAUGAAAUCAGCGAUGUUUUACCGAGCCCUGCCCUGCCGCAGCAUUUUAUUCUCAAGGGCUACUACGGAAAGUGCCAAAUUGGAACUGAUCAGAGGGGCUCAUCUCCACCUACUGUGACCCCUACAAAGAUGCAGAGCAGGCUGGCUGCGGUGUAGGGAGGUUUUGCUCCCAGCAAAGCCUCAGGGAGAUGAGGCUGGGCACUCACCGGGCUGAUUCCACAUCUCUCUCCAUGGCUGUGCUCUUGGAAUCUCAUUCCCAAUCCUCCCCAACCUCCUCUUCUCUCUUCUCAUGGUUUACAAGCUUAAGGAGUGAAUGGCAGCUAAGCUGAGAAGAGAAUGGGCAUGGAAAUGGCCCACGAGAGAGAAAGUGAGGGUCAAGUGCUGCUGGGGGGCCGGCACUGCCCCUGGGGACGGUGCCAGCCAGCCACUGCAACCUCCACAGAGCUAGGCACCAGCCUUUGCCCACCUUCCCCCUGCCCGACAGAGGACCCUGUCAUCUUUCAGAUCCCCCUCUUCUUCUCUCCACUCAGAAAAGCUUUACAUAGCAGGGACCAUCCCUGGCCCUGAGAUUCAAGUGGAUGGUGGGUUGUCACCCACACCCCCAAACGGCUGGGGUCUGGGGACACCUCAGCUGGCAUUUGAGGAGGGUGAGACCCUGGAAAUCACUUGAGUAGAGAGUCUUUCAGUUCAAUCAAAGAAAUCUGCCGUCCUCUGGCCCUCCCCACAUCCUCACCACCCCCCGAGGUGAGCAGAAUAGGAGAGAACAUGGGGCCGGAAGGCAGGUUCACACUUACCUGCAUGCACCGUCUUUGCUCCAUCCCUCUCUGGAUGAUGAAAGCUGCUCUGUGUUGGCUUCAGCCAUACUCAGCUUAAACAGACCAGAUGGUAUUUGUUGUGUUGGGACAGGGACAUGAUUUCCAGCCCUGCCUGCUUCCCCACUGACCUGCAGCCAGGUCCUCUGUCCCCUGAACUUGUCCGUGAAGCCUGGCUUGGCACCGCCAACACGCUGCACAGCGAUCAUGAUUCCCACUCAGGCCACUCUGGGGCCAGGGCUGGGUUGCUCUUCCCUGUUGAUAAGUAGGAAAAGUUUCCCUUCUCCAUCAAGAACACAAGGCACCACCUCUCAACUGUCUUCUCCUCACUUCUCCCCACUUGCUUCCUCUCAGCCCUGGUUUCUUUCCAUCCAAACCUGAUGUUUUGUGGAGUACAAAGCCCUCCAGUUGAAGGUAUAAUUGAAGGGGGUCAUAGGACAAUCUUAAAUGCACAGGCCAGCAGCAAGCACUGUCUUGAGGUCUUUUGUGCAAAGCUGAGGCUUCAGAGGACUCCAAAACUUAAUCCAUGCCCUCAAGGAAUUUACAAUGUCUUUGGAAAAACACACAAAUCUAGGCACCCAUGCAAAGCAGCAAGAGGAAACUAACCCUUUGUAAGCUCUGUAUAGAAAGCCAGUAGGUAGGAGAGUCUUCAGCCUCCGUAUUUGUUGUGUUGGAAAAGGGAUAUGAUUUCCAGCCUUGCCUGCUUCCCCACUGACCUGCAGCCAGGUCCUCUGCAGGGGAAAUGCCCCAACUGUGGAGGGGAAGUUAAGUUGGAAUUUGAGUGAAACCUGAUUCCCAAUGGGAAGCGCCGUAAGUAGCAAGUCAAAGGAGAUGGGGAUGCACAGGAAAUACUCAGAAACAGUUAUAUUAUGCAGCAAUCAGAAAUGAUGAGUUCGUGUCCUUUGCAGGGACAUGGAUGAAUGUGGAGAACAUCAUUCUCAGCAAACUGACACAAGAACAGAAAAUGUAAUACCGCAUGUUCUCACUCAUAGGCAGGUGAUGAAAAAUGAACACAGGGACACAGGAAACGGAGUACUACACACUGGGGUCUAUUGGGGAGAAUAGGGGAGGGACAGUGGGGGCGGAGCUGGGGAGGGAUAGCCUGGGGAGAAAUGCCAAAUGUGGGUGAAGGGGAGGAAGGAAGCAAAACACACUGCCAUGUGUGUACCUAUGCAACUAUCUUGCAUGUUCUGCACAUGUACCCCAAAACCUAAAAUGCAAUAAAAAAUAAAUAAAUAAAUGAAAACAGUUGAGGCAGUCUUCAGACAUGGCAUUGGAAGAUGUCUGCCGAAGAGAGAGGGGCACAGAGCUGGAGGGAGCAGAGGCCAUGGGGGUCUGGUCCUCCACCUCAGGUCACAGGGUUAGGACUCGUGGACUUGUAGAGUUAGGGCAGGAAGCUGUGGGGGGUUCUGUGAGCUGGGAAGUCCUAGAUGCUCCACGGUGGGGAGAGGAGAGAAAGAAGAAGGCUGGAGCCUGGAACAGGGAGGCCAGUCAGGAAGCUGUGCAGAAGCCCCGGUACCUGGCCGCCCACAGCUGGCUGAUUUGAAGGCUGUGGGAGUGCACCGGUGGGUGGGCGGCACCCUGCAGGGGCUGGGGAAGGAGCCGGUGGGAGGUGUUGAGUGUGCAGGGGUCAAAGGUGACAUCCGAGAUUCUGGUUUGGGAAAACUGGCCCCAUGACACGGUGAGGGGUCCUCAGACAUCAUUUGAGAGCACAGUCCAAAGAGGUCCUUUGCAGGAACCCUGAGCAGUGGGAUUAUAGGAAAACAUUUCAACCUUAAAAAACUAGCACAGAAAUCCCACCCAAGGGAUAAAGCUGCUUCUUAACUUGUUUUCUCCUCCUCUCAACUCUUCCUCCUCUCUUCAGGCAUCACAGAACUUGCUUCUGCAGCUCAGGCGUCAUUCUGCACCGCAAAAUACUACUAUUUCUCUCAGUUGGCAGCUUUACAAGCAACCGCCCCACAUGCCUGGUGCCCCAGGCAGAGGUGGGGCCACACCUGGUGCAGCAGGGCCUGGUAGCUCACAGGGGACAGGGCGGGGGUGCUGGCUGGAGCCCGCUGGGCCCUGAGCUGACCUGUCUGUGGGAAACAGCAGGGCCAAUUCUCUUUCUCUCUCUAAGUAUCAGCAGAUGCCCCUGAAACUUCACUUCCGCUGCCUCAAGCCAUCCUCCUGGAUCAGUAGGUUGCUGAGAGCAACAGGAACCUCUGCAAAAAAGAGUGUUAUGCUCAGGGACGAGGCCAGUCCUCUUUCCCCAUGGUCUGAUCCUCUGUCUACUUCUGCUUCUCAAAAUACACAAAACCAAGUCUGCUUUUGCUUAGAGAUCGAGAAGCCCGUCUCGGUGCUCUGGUUUUCCUCUGAGGUGUUCUUUCUAAUCACACUGAACGGCAGAAGGAGGUUCUUGCUUUUCUUUCCUCUUUGGUGCUGAUGGAACAUCUCAAAGCCCUCUGCUUCUGCCUCUGGAGUAGUAUCUUCAAUGGGCACCUGAGGCUUCUCUCCCAGCAUUCUGGACCCCGGUACCACCUAUGUGGGAGAGCAGGCUUUGUGGCAGUCAGCAAGGGUGGGAGCAGGUGGGGGCUGAUCCAGGCGAUGAUCUGAGAGUGGAAGUCUGCCCAACCUCAGGCGGGGGGUUCUCUCCGCAGCCCAGCUUACGCCCUUGAAGAAUGAAGAAUUCCCCAGUAAGUCCUUCUGUGUCUUUCCUGCUAUACUUUGGUCUCGAGGCAGCCCUCAGCCCUCCAAAGAUGAGCAGCCCUCUGCUGACACUGGGUCUUAAGUCCUUCAUGCCUAGGACUUCACGGAUAAAAUCCUCCUUUGCUCUACCAGGGGCUGGCAGGCAGAGCAAGUAUCCACAGCCGUGGAAGCCACCUUGGGCCGAGCCCAACUAGUCUCGGGGAUCACCACUGCAGCCUACAUCAGCUGUGGGCGUGCACUAGAAAAAAACCUAACAAAGCUCACAUCGCCUCACCCACCCCCUGCCCUGGCCACAGUGAUCUCAGAUCUAAAAUGAGGUCUUUGGACUCCAGGGGGUGCUAUCCAUGACCCUCCAGCACUAGCAAUCCUGUGUUUUCUGGGGCCCUGUCGGCAUUUCCUUCUUCACCCCAACUUAACUUGUCCUGUCUUUUAAAUGUCGAGAAGGCCAGGAGGAGGCCACAUGAAGAAGCCCAGCUCCAUGUCCCGAUGAUUAUAUGGUAACUGUGGUCACGUUUGCCUGAAGAGAGAAUAGGUGGUGCCACUAGGAGCCCUCCCACUCUGCAAGCACUUUUCAUUCCCUAAGCUUGGAUUGAAUUCUUCUGGUGGGUACCCAGUACCAGCCCAGGGGAUGCAAUGUGAACACGCCCACCCCCAGACGCUCACGGCUCCAUGGGAAGAAGAGGCUCUAAAUUAGGUAGUCCUUACUGGAGGACUGGAGCAGACCCAAGCCCCUGCCCUCUUCCACAGGAGCACGGGAUGAAGGGUUUUGAAUCCAUCGUGGGGCGAGGAAGGUAAGGAUGUUCCUGCCCCAUCAACCCAACAGUGUCUACACCCUGUCUGCAUUUACAUUUUGAUUUGGAGCUCUCUCUGUUUUUGUUGUUGCUGUUGUUUGAGGGUUUUUAAAUUUUUUUUUUGGUUUGGAGGUGAAUGGAAUCUUUCGAUUUUAUGAAACUUUUAGAAAUUUGGCUGAUGUACAGUUCUUCUUCCUUCCUGGAACUGAGUUCAUGGGAUUAGCCAACCCUGUCCAUUUCGCAAUGCGCACGUGGGAUCCCAGCUCCAGAUGAAAGGGGCCGCCCUGUCUGAGCAGCACUUUCCUCAGGGUAGAGAUGAUGGGGCCCUCUGCACCGUGAGAAUGAGGGGGAUGGGGGAGACCUGAGAGAAAGCGGCAGAAAUGUCCACCCAUUGGGGCCAGCGCGCACUCCAGGCUCUCCUAAGAGAGUGUUCGUUUCUCCUUUUUUUGUCUUCCUCCUCUUCCCUUCCAACUGAACACUGACCUACCUGUUUGGGGGACCUUUUUAAGCCACGGCAACUGCUCAUCCCACUCACCCUGUGACCUUCCUGGAGCCUGGGAGACCCCCACCUUUCUUCCUUUCUAUCCAGCUGCCCCAGUCAAUCUUGACAAAGAAGGCAGAGAAAUACUGGAGUCUAAAAUGAGUGUGAUGUGUGUCAGCUGGGGGACGAGCGUAGGACUUCUUCACACAGACUGGCUUGGAACUUAGAGCACGUGCCACGCUGAGCAGCCCAAUGACCUGAAAUAUAAUGGCCUCUCACAGCCCCCAGACACCAUGUCACCAGUCGCUGUGGUCAGGAUCUCUGUCCCUCUGCUGUGAGGUGAUCCAGCCCCUCAUCCUGCCUGGUCCCAGACUGCGAUGUCGUAUCCCUGCCAACCUUGCAAACUAACAGGCUGACAGGUGGUUCCUUCCCAGAAAUCUUACACACAUCUACAUGCACUUCCGUCUCUUGUGCAUCAAUGAGGAUAAGGUGAUGAGGAGACAGACAGGAUCCCUGUCCUCAGGAAACUAACAGUCUAGAGGGAGGAGACAGACAUUAAUCAAAUAAUCACCCAAAGUGGCAUUACUUACGAUAAGUAUCGGGAGGAAAACGCCCAGAGUGAUCUGAGAUAUUCCAAAUCUCUAGAAGAAACCAGACAAUGAGGCUCCUGAAAAUUCUAGUUCUCUAUUUGCCAGCUGAAUGCGAUUGCCCAACAGCUGUGCUAGUUGGUGAAUGAUGGUUUCUUCCCAGCUGCCUUCCAAAAUGUGAGAUAAUGAGGCUCUCCUGCAGAUGACGUUCAGGUUUAUGCCAUCUAAAAGCAGCCUUUAGGGUUGGGAUGGUAAGUGGGGACUCCUGUGCCCCAAGCCCACCUCAAGGUCCCACACCUGUGGGCUCCAGUCUAAUGGAAAACAGCAACCACAUUACAAGAACACCCGACAACCUUGCAAAUGCAGGAAGUUUGGGUCCCUCGAUUUUUUGCCCCCUUUUUGGCCCUUCUCCACCCUACAUUUCUGUGGCUUGUUUUUGAAAAGGCCUAGCUGGCUUUGACCCUGACUCUGAAAACUUUAAUCACAUUCUAUCUCCCCCUUUACCAAGCUGCCUUGGGUCUUCUUCCCAGGCCUUCCUCUCUAAGCAGAGAGGGUGCUCAGAAAUCCCUCCAGAGAGUUCAGAUCCAGUUUACAGCUUGUGCACCCUCGCCUGUGGCUGCACAACUAGAACUAGUCCAACCUAAUCUAAGGUUAAUUUGGAACAGAAAUGCAGUGCUCCCUGGGGUGGAUCUAAGUGGGCAUCUGCCCCGAUUUCCCUCAGUGGAAUCUGUUGUGCAGCCUACCUGUGCCCUGGUCAGCUCACCACUCAGGAUGCACUAAGCCCAUCCACCUGGACGCUGUCCUUAGUUCUUGCUGAACACGCUCUCUCCAGCAAGGGCCCUUGAGAAGUACCUCAUUGGACCAGGAAGUUUGACUUCUAGGAAUCUGAUACAAGGCCCGCUCCGGUUUGCCCUUCUCUGGCUGAUUGUACUCCCCUGCAAGGACUGCUGAUGCUUUCAAACGUCACAGGAAAGAGACCUGCAUUCCAACAGCUUCUCUCUUGCUGGUGGUUCUCUCUGCCACAUGGUGUCACUGUUGAACACUCACCCUACACAGUCCCCUAGAUUUCUGCUCAUCCAGCCAUGAGAAUUCCCUUGAGUGGCCAUGUGCAGGCUGCAGGCUUCUUCAAAGGAAGAUGGUGUUUUGACUUCCAUGGCAUUAAACUCAAUACAUGGCUCUCUCUCCAGCACACAUGCACACAGUCACUUAUUUCCAAAGCACAUCCAGUAUGCCUGUGUCGCUGGGUUAGAGGGAUGCCUCCACCUCUACCACGUUUUGUACUAGAAUCCCACCUUUUCCUCCAACUUACCCUUCCUUGUACAGUGAGCCUGGAUCACCAGUCUUUUCUCAAGGUGUUAUUUUGUGCCUUAAUCUGGUCCACUCUUAUGUAUCCCGAAAGACAUUAGAACAUUGGACACUAGGACCUAGGAAUUGGAGUGUUUCCCAGAAGACCCUACGUCCUAUGUAAAUAGGCCCACCUCCUCCUAUAAUUAGCUCUGCAUUCAGGAGAUUCAGGGCAAGUCCCAGAAGGUUCUGGAACACUUCAAAUCCAUAAAAUAUAAUGAGUGCUUACUCUGUUUCUGCGUAACCAAGAGGUAUGCUCAAGUGGGUUUUUCAAGGGAAGAAAUUAGAUUCAAUUUAACACAAAAAUAAUAAGUCAGCUAUAUUUACAUUCCUUCUGUAUGUUUGGUCUGUUCUGUCUGCUUGGGGCCUGUGGUCUCCCUUUAGCAAUCUUUUAUUUACUCUGUAUGUUCCACUAAAGAGUUCAUGGCCUAAGCCAAAAUUCUAAGAUUUUUUUUUUUUAUAGCAUGGGCAAUAGGGCCUUCCACAUUUGCAGCUGAAAAGGACAGUACUUUCCCAUGGGCUGUUCUCCUAGAAACAGAUUCAUAAAAGCCCUCAACCAUUGUAUUCAUAUGUAGUAUUGAUAAUGUUCAAUGUGGUACAUGAUAUAAAUUUGAAGAAAAAAAACCCUCAUUUCUACUCUGGGGCCAAGAUCAUAGAUUAUAUCACAUUUGGCUCCAUUUCUCACUCUUUUUUAAGUGUUUGCAAUACUUGAUUAGGAUGAUUGGGAAGUUAAAUAUGCCAAGCCAUAGUGGCCACGUGUUGAUUUGUCACAGACCCUCAACAGCAAACUCCAGGACACACUGAGGGGCAGGAUUUCUUCUCUUGCUACCAAGCAAGUGGUUAUUCCUUCUAAUUAAACUGCUUGUGACUGUUUCAUAAGAACUUGAGUCCUAAUCCCCACCCCUGCCCCCGCAAAAUAUUCCUGGUCAAAGGGUACCAUGUCUUAUCACAGUGUUCAUUAUAAAAAUCUCCUUGCCAUAAAUAAAACUCAGAUCAAAUAAAUCCUUGCUGGAGGACCAGAGCUUGUCCUGCAGACCCAGGGAGGAGAGUUGCUCCGGGGAGAGGGAAAGAUGGGGAGCAGGUAAAUUACAGCUUUCACUUUUUACUAUGUAGACUCUCAUACUUAACAUUUUUAUAGUAAGCACCUAUUGUCAUGCUUUUUUAAUUCUCAUUUUUUAAAGUUUUAAUAAAUGCUAUUUCUUUCUUGAUUACAUCCUCCAAGUAUAGCUGUCUUGAGCUAAUGUUGUAUACAAGAACCAAAGAUUUAAGUGAAGUGGUCCAGAGGCAAUUGACUUACUGUUUAUUAUCCCAGAGAGAAAUCUUUUUUUUUUUUUUUUUUUUGAGAUGGAGUUUCGCUCUCGUUACCCAGGCUGGAGUGCAAUGGCGCGAUCUCGGCUCACCGCAACCUCCGCCUCCUGGGUUCAGGCAAUUCUCCUGCCUCAGCCUCCUGAGUAGCUGGGAUUACAGGCACGCGCCACCAUGCCCAGCUAAUUUUUUGUAUUUUUUAGUAGAGGCGGGGUUUCACCAUGUUGACCAAGAUGGUCUCAAUCUCCUGACCUCAUGAUCCACCCGCCUCGGCCUCCCAAAGUGCUGGGAUUACAGGCUUGAGCCACCGCGCCCGGCCAAAAUCUUUGAGGAAUAACUUGAGGCUGUAGCUUGUAUUACAUUUUAACUCCCAUUAACAAGAAAUGCUUUGAAAUGUGCUAAGAUCAGUUCCGAUCCCUGUACUGAUGCAUGAAGGAAGCCCAUACUCUAAAAUCAAAGCAAAGGACAUCAAAACUGUCUUGUCAGAUAAAAAUUUCCAGCCAGGCACGGUGGCUCACACCUGUAAUCCCACCAUUUUUGGAGGCCAAGGCAGGCAGAUCACAAGAUCAGGAGUGCAAGACCAGCCUGACCAAUAUGGUGAAACCCCAUCUCUACUAAAAACACAAAAAUUAGCCAGGUGGGGUGGCACCCACCUGUAACCCCAGCUACUCAGGAGGCUGAGGCAGGAGAAUCACUUGAAUCCAGGAGGAAGAUAUUUCAGUGAGCCAAGAUCAUGCCACUGCACUCCAGCCUGGGCAACAGAGGGAGACUCCGUCUCAAAACAAAAAACAAAAAAAGAUUUUCCAGUGGGAGUGAAGAGGAGCACAGUUUAACAUCCAUUCAUAUUUGUGGUCUGGAACCACUUUCAGAUGACCCAGAUAUGGUAGAGAUCCCCACCACGGAGAAGUAGGGAGAGCCGAGUUCCAUUCUACGCAGAUCACAUGAUUUUGUUGCCAUAAAUUAGAAAUACUUUGAUAGACAACUGGCCCUACUUCCAAUCAGCUACUUUGAAUUCUGCCCCUAUAAUUAAUAGCCCUACACAGCAUGUCAACACUUUCAUGUACUGGGGUGACAUUUUGAAAACGGGUCUUUCUUUGAAGGAUGCAGGAAACUACUUUGCUCAAAGUUAGUUGAGCGUCUUAUAAUGAUUUUCUGAAAUGUGUUUGUAGGCUAAGAGGACAUCUGGCUACACCUGUUUUCAGCAUGAUUCGGGCGAGACGAAAAAUCACUGUCAGCAGAUAUGGUUUAAAAUGAGAUAUUGUGUUUGGUUUUGAAGAAUCAAAUAAAAAAUUUAAACGUAGAUUAAAAUUUAACACGUCACAGAAAUGACUCAAGAAUAGAUCAAAGCUGCUUUCAUAGUAUAAUUUUUUUAAUUGUGUGAGUUUUUGCACCGAAAAAACUGACGUAUUUGUACAAUCUUUGUGGGUUUUUUUAAACAAUAAGAAAGAUCACAUGCAUUCCUGAUUUCCACAUAUAACACACUGCGCAAAGGAAGGCUUUUAUGCCCACCUCUGAAACGUGUGUUCAUUUGCCUUUUGAACAAUGCUUUUUGAACCUCUUGAUGUAAGAGUCCUCCAAAAUGUUCUUCAAACUAAGGCUUUUGAUGAGCUGAAUGGAACUUGGAGAUCUGGCAAGAAUUACGCUGCAGCAAACCCAAAGAAUUAUGUUCCUGUCUGUGCUCUGCAUAGCUUAUAAUUCAACAUUGGGAUUGCCUUUGCUUCCUGUUUUUACCUAAUGAGUCUGUUAUGGGACUAAGGCAAAUAACAGAGGAUGAAAGAAAAGAGUUUAAAGUGUUUAAUGGUCAGAAGGCAUCAUGGCAGCUGUCGUGAGGGACUGAGAGCUAAGCCCCUGAGUGACUUGGUUCCUGAAGAUGCUCUCUGGCUGUUCUCCAGCUAUACCCCUACAGGUACGGUCAAUACAUGUACGGAGCAUCCACACUUUUCUUUAAAGGAGGAUUGCCUAAAAAUGCCUACUGAAGUAUUUUUACGUUAGAUGUUUACCUCCAUUAAUUCCUGCACCUGCCUCUCAGCAUUCAUAAAUCAACAGCUGAAAGAUGUCUCCUAGAGCAGAUGAUGGAAAGUGCUAAGAUGAGGACCUGGAAAGUUUCGAAGGGGCUUGUUUGGCAUUGCUUUUUGUUGGUUGGCUUGUUUAGGGGGGAAUGUUGCCCCCGGCUUCAUCUGUGUGCUUUCCCAAUUCCAUGUUCUUCCUACUUAUGACCACAUUUCCUAGAGUUCAGGCCGACUCGAGCUGUACUGCCUGCUAAAUUAGCACCAGGGAGGAACCGCAUCAUGGAGUAAUUGUAUGCCUGGGAUUCACCCGGGACGAUAUACUCACUCCAACAAGAAAAGUGGGAGUAUGCUUCUGAAACACAGGCCAUCCUAGUCCUUUGGCACUGCAAGAUGACAUUGUUCAUGCUUUUUAAACCCAUUCUUCAUUGGGGUUAGCACAAAAAUAACAUACUAUCUCUUAAAGUUUUUUGAAAUUUCAAAGUAAAUUCAACCCAUAACUUGGAAACAAAAUAAAGGCAACAGGACUACACGUUGACAACUUUUCAAAUUCUACAAUAGAAAGAAGGAAACAAGAUGUUCAUUACUUACAGACUACAGUAUGAUUAUGCACUGAGAUAAUAUAAAAGUAUUGACUAAAACCCUUAGUAUUAAUAAAAAGUUAGGGAAGGGGUCAGAUACAAGAUAAAAAUACCAAAAUCUCCCAAAUAAACACUCUUUCUAUUCUAACAAGCAGAACUAUAGGGAGAAAAAUGCAUUCAUCAAAGUAUUGGGAAAAAAAUACAAAAAGCACUAAAGAAAUAUCCAAGACCUAUAUCAAAAAUGCGAAUUUCUUACAGAGAUUGAUAAAAGAGAAUACUUAAUAGACAGAUAUACCCUUGUGUUGGAAUACUGAAUGAAGCAAUGCUAUUAAUCCUUGUUUUUAAUCCUUGUAAUUUUUAGGUGAAAUGUAAUCUGAAUUAAAUCCCAGUCGAAUCUUUUUUUUUUAAUUUGAUGAAAGCCCAUCUGGAAGCAGAGAAGAAUGAUGAGAAAAGUUAAGAAUUGCUUAAAGAAUAUCAAGGAGAUACUGUCCCUAAGAGAUAUCCAACUGCAUUGAUCUUGAUACGGUAAUUAAAACAGUGUGGUGCUCAUACAAGAUUCUGUAGAUCAUCCAAUGAAGCAGAACCAGAUAGUCCUGAGAUCUGUCAUACAUAUUUUGAAAACUUAAAUCUGAGAAAGAAUUCACCAGGAAGAAAUGGUUAAUGGUUAGAUUAUCUGAAAGUAAAGUUGGAAAAUGUGGCUAAAAGGCGGGGAAGGAAUAAUGAAGUUUGAUCUCUCCCUAAUACUGUACACUGAAAUAAAACCCCGUGUAUUAAAUGUAAAAAAAGAAUCCAAAAAUAUCUG